rnacentral:rRNA from 1 species
UUCGGAGGGGGUUAGUGUUGUUCGGAAUUACUGGGCGUAAAGCGCGCGUAGGCGGACUGGAAAGUUGGGGGUGAAAUCCCGGGGCUCAACCCCGGAACGGCCUCCAAAACUAUCAGUCUAGAGUUCGAGAGAGGUGAGUGGAAUUCCGAGUGUAGAGGUGAAAUUCGUAGAUAUUCGGAGGAACACCAGUGGCGAAGGCGGCCCACUGGCUCGAUACUGACGCUGAGGUGCGAAAGCGUGGGGAGCAAACAGU